rnacentral:rRNA from 1 species
UAGAUACCCUGGUAGUCCACGCCGUAAACGAUGGAUACUAGGUGUAGGAGGUAUCGACCCCUUCUGUGCCGGAGUUAACGCAAUAAGUAUCCCGCCUGGGAAGUACGAUCGCAAGAUUAAAACUCAAAGGAAUUGACGGGGGCCCGCACAAGCGGUGGAGUAUGUGGUUUAAUUCGACGCAACGCGAAGAACCUUACCAAGUCUUGACAUUGAUCGCCAUUCCAAGAGAUUGGAAGUUCUCCUUCGGGAG